rnacentral:rRNA from 1 species
AUGCACGCUGGCGGCGUGCCUAAUACCUGCCAGUCGAGCGAACAGAUGAGGAGCUUGCUCCUCCGACGUUAGCGGCGGACGGGUGAGUAACACGUGGAUAACCUACCUAUAAGACUGGGAUAACUUCGGGAAACCGGAGCUAAUACCGGAUAAUAUAUUGAACCGCAUGGUUCAAUAGUGAAAGACGGUUUUGCUGUCACUUAUAGAUGGAUCCGCGCCGCAUUAGCUAGUUGGUAAGGUAACGGCUUACCAAGGCAACGAUGCGUAGCCGACCUGAGAGGGUGAUCGGCCACACUGGAACUGAGACACGGUCCAGACUCCUACGGGAGGCAGCAGUAGGGAAUCUUCCGCAAUGGGCGAAAGCCUGACGGAGCAACGCCGCGUGAGUGAUGAAGGUCUUCGGAUCGUAAAACUCUGUUAUUAGGGAAGAACAAAUGUGUAAGUAACUAUGCACGUCUUGACGGUACCUAAUCAGAAAGCCACGGCUAACUACGUG